rnacentral:lncRNA from 1 species
UGAAAAUUGAAAACGUUUGCUUUUGGGCUCCUUGGUUUUCCAGCUCAGUAAUACCUCAAAUGUAAAUUGUCUGCAUUUUUACAUUUUUAGUCAUUUAGCAGACGCUCUUAGCCAGAGCGACUUACAUUUUUUCUCCGUACUGGUCCCCCGUGGGAAUCGAAACCACAACCCUGGCGUUGCAAACACCAUGCUCUACCAACUGAGCCACACGGGACCAACAACAGUGAAAUUGCCUACUUCUAUGUGAAUUAAUGAGGUGGAACACACCUCAAUUCAAACUGUUGUUAGAAAAUAAAACCUGUUGGAAAAUUAUUUGAAAUUGAAGUUGAAACAUAGCCCAUAGAUAAUUAGCAGGCAGUGUGCCUUGGUUUGAGGACAGCGUGGGUUAACUGUCCUGUUGCGUAACAAUCACAUUUUGGAACAGUAAAUGCAUUCUGACAUCACUCAAACUCAGCUGGGGCGACAUAAGAGAAAUUUGGAACUCACACGUGAAAAGGGUUCAAUUUGGAAUGCCUGUUAUUGGUUAAGUGCACAGCCAACACUUCCUAUUCUUUCAAAAUGUAUUACAUGGUCUGUCACGCGGCCUUAUGGACUCUGCUGGUACUGCUCUUGGCCAUCUCGGGGUGCACCUUGGCAAGUGCCUAAAAGAGUGUGUGUGAACAAAUCUCACUCAUUGUUACCUGCAUCAACAAAAACCUGACAGAGGUUCCUCUCACAAUGAGAUCACAGUGAAGCUGGAUCUGAGAGGCAACAACAUCCAGGAGCUGCCAUCAGGUGCGUUCAAACGCAUGCCAUACCUGAUGCACCUGUCCAUGCAGCGCAGCAACAUCCACACCAUAAAGGAGGGGGCGUUCCCUGCUCUGGGCCGCCUCGUCUUCCUCAACCUGGCCAACAACAACAUCGAGAUCCACUAUCAGGUGAGAUAGAUUGAGACAGUGUGAUAUGUGACUGUUUCUUUGCUGUGGUUUGACUAUGUUACUGAGAAAAGUUGGUGUUGCAAAUUAAGAUGCACACUCUUCCUUCAUCUUGUUUUCCCUGUUUCUCUCACUCCCUUUGUCUUCUCACUCCCAGGCUGCCAUUCUCUCCCAUCCCUCUGACUGUUUCUUUGCUGAGUUUUGACUAUGUUGCUGGGAGAAUUUGGUAUUGCAAAUUAAAAGCUCCACACUCUUCCUCCAUCUCCCCCCACUACGUCUGCAGGAGGCGUUCGACGGUCUCUCCUCGCUGAAGCAGCUAAUGAUUGACCACAACCCGGUGGAGGAGAUCCAGCCAGAGAUCUUCUCUCAGCUGGGCUUCCUCAACUUGCUUUCCCUUGCCCACAACCAGCUCACCAACAACCCCAACAUGGCUGAUGGGGAUCUGCGGGGGACCGACUCACUUCUCUGGGGAGAACCUGGAGGCCAUCCACUUCCUGGACCUGCGCUGCCAGAGCCAGGAGGCCAUGCUAAAGGCUGAGUUUGAGGAGCAGACAAGGGGGAUUCCAACCCCCACCCCCCGAGCCCACCGACAAUGUCAAGUGUCCCGCCAACUGUGCCUGCAAGGUUGAGACACACCACUCCUCUGAGAACUGCGGCCACACCAAAGUCCCCCACGGCUUCUCCCCCAACACACGCCUCCUCAACCUGCGAGGCCUCCGGUUCAAGCUGCUACAUGGCCUGCUCGCCCUUCACAUGGAGAACAAUUCCAUCGCCAAGCUGUAGCCAGGGAUUCUGACUGGGGAUGAGAAGUUGAGCGGGCUCUAUCUGAGGUGGUGCCCAGUGAUGCGUUAGCAAAGACGGGCAACCUGGGAGCAUUACAGCCGUCGGGGAAUCCCAUUUGCUGGAGUGGGCCGCAUGUUUUCCAGCUAUUGGCUAGGGCACUGAAGGAUCUGUAUCUGGAUGGCAUGGGAUUGGAGAAGAUGUCUAAGGACUCUGGCAGGACUGAGUGCUGGUCUUAGGAGUCUCUACCUGGAGAGGAUCCAGCUGGAGGAGGUGCCCGACUUCAACCCUCUGAUCGGCCUGGAUGUCAUCAACCUGGCAGAGAACCCUCUUCUGCCCCUUGCUGCCGCUACGCAUGUACGACUUACACACGUUAUGCUCGCUCUUUCAUACACUCACUCUGACACAUGCUUGAAAACUCCCCCUCUCUCAUGUAUACACUCAGAUACAUGCUCUAACCCACUCAUGUUCACUCUUUCAUACAAACAUGUAUUAAUUGCCUACAGUACCAGUCAAAGGUUUGGACACACCUACUCAUUCCAGUCUAUUUUUUCCCCUUAUUUUUUAGACAUUGUAGAAUAGUGAAGGCUAUGAAAAAAAAAAGUUGAAAUAACACAUAUGUUAUCAUGUAGUAACCAAAAAAGUGUCAAACAAAUCAAAAUAUAUUUUAGAUUCUUUAAAGUAGCCACCCUUUGCCAUGAUGACAUCUUUG